AAACUGGGAUUAGAUACCCUACUAUGCCCAGCCAUAACACAACAAUUAAACAACCAAUUGUUCGCCAAAUAACUACGAGUGAAAACUUAAAACUUAAAAGACUUGACGGUACUUCACAACACCCUAGAGGAGCCUGUCUAAUAACCGAUACUCCACGAUUAACCCCACCUGUCCUGGCCUAACAGUCUAUAUACCGCCGUCGCCAGCUUACCUUGUGAAAGAAAUAAAGUGAGCAAAACAAACCACCUCUAACACGACAGGUCAAGGUGUAACUAAUGAACAGGCAAAAGAUGGGCUACAUUUUCUAAUGCAGAAAACACGAAUCAAAUCAUGAAACCAUAACUGAAGGCGGAUUUAGUAGUAAGAUAAAAAUAGAAUGCUUAACUGAAAUUAAUGCAAUGAAGUGCGUACACACCGCCCGUCAC
rnacentral:rRNA from 1 species